rnacentral:tRNA from 1 species
GGAUCGUGGCUCAGUGGCAGAGCGCUUGCCUAGCAUAUAUGAGGCACUGGGUUCAAUUCUCAGCACCA